UUCUCAGGUAUACCUAGGAAACAGUUUGUUGCUGUGGGAUGUCUUUCUGUAUGCUGUAAAUAUGUGUUACUCCCAUUGACUAAUAAAUAAAGCUGCACUGGCCUAUGGCAGGGCAGGAUGGAGCCAGGUGGGGAAAAUCCAAGAGAGAUAGUGAAAGAAGAAAGGAGAGUAAGGGGAGAUGCCAGCUGGCUGCCUAAGGAGCAACAAGAUGCCAGCAGACUGGGCUCCAUGGGACAAGCGGCACCUUCCCACACUUGCCAGUCCUUGAGAUUCCAGAAUGAGGAGCUCAAAGCCUCUUGCCAUCUUUCUGGUCUUCAGCACACUCAUCCCUUCUACUACCAUUCAGGUGCACAGGAGGGCUGUGGGGAAGCUGGACCGAGAGGACACGUCCCAGCAGCCUUCUCAGGGUCCCCCAGGAAGAUCUUGUAGAGGUGACUCUAGCACUGAAUUAACUAUUGAAAGCCACAGAGAUGGCCAGGGAUUCUUUGCUCUACUGAUGUCCUUCUAGUGACAGAGCAUAUGCUGCUUCCGUUUCCUGGUCCAAAGAUCACUGACCGAAAUGCCUCUUCCAUUAAUGCUAUACUGGACUUUUAGAAUGUCCUCUAAAUCCUAGGCUGAAGGGAACUUCCAGGAGAUUGAAGGUUGUAUACUUAAUUAAUAGAUAUUUAUAAUACCA